rnacentral:sRNA from 2 species
UAUCUCUCCGUACGGGGAAGGAUGAGAAGCUUCGACUAAGGUUCGAUUCGAGCGCAGCGAGAAAGCGUUGCCGUAGGCAACGACCCGAAGGG